UCGCCUACAUGAAGCUGGAAUUGCUAGUAAUCACAGGUCAGCAUACUGUGGUGAAUACGUUCCCGGGCCUUGUACACACCGCCCGUCACACCAUGAGAGUUGAGAAUACCCGAAGUCCAUGUCAAAGUGGCCGAAGGUAGGCUUGAUGAUUGGGGUGAAGUCGUAACAAGGUAAC
rnacentral:rRNA from 1 species